rnacentral:tRNA from 1 species
GCACCAGUGGUUAUGAGAUAGUACCUGCCACGGUACAGACCCGGGUUCGAUUCCCGGCUGGUGCA